rnacentral:rRNA from 1 species
AACGAACGCUGGCGGCGUGGAUAAGACAUGCAAGUCGAACGGGACUUUUUUCUGUAGCAAUACAGAGAAAAGUCUAGUGGCGAACGGGUGCGUAACACGUGAGCAACCUGCCGUGAAGUGGGGGAUAGCUCGCCGAAAGGCGAAUUAAUACCGCAUGUGGCCAAGGAAGACAUCUUCCUGACGCCGAAGCCGGGGCAACCUGGCGCUUCUCGAGGGGCUCGCGGCCUAUCAGCUUGUUGGUGAGGUAACGGCCCACCAAGGCUAUGACGGGUAGCUGGGCUGAGAGGACGACCAGCCACAAGGGAACUGAGACACGGUCCAGACACCUACGGGUGGCAGCAGUCGAGAAUUUUUCACAAUGGGGGAAACCCUGAUGGAGCGACGCCGCGUGGAGGAUGAAGGUUCUCGGAUUGUAAACUCCUGUCAUUAGAGAACAAGGCACACGGUUUAACUGGCCGUGUGUUGAUAGUAUCUGAAGAGGAAGAGACGGCUAACUCUGUGCCAGCAGCCCGCCGUAACAC